rnacentral:tRNA from 1 species
UGCAGUGUAGUUUAUUAAGAAUACUUAUUUUACACGUAAGAGGUCCCAUGGGUGCUGUAA